rnacentral:rRNA from 1 species
AAAGGAAUUGACGGGGAGCACCACAACGGGUGGAGCUUGCGGUUUAAUUGGUAUUCAACGCCGGAAAUCUUACCGGGACCGACAGCAAUAUGAAGGCCAGGCUGAAGACUUUGCCGGAUUAGCUGAGAGGUGGUGCAUGGCCGUCGUCAGUUCGUACUGUGAAGCAUCCUGUUAAGUCAGGCAACGAGCGAGACCCACGCCCACAGUUGCCAGCGUACUCUCUGGAGUGACGGGUACACUGUGGGACCGCCGCUGCUAAAGCGGAGGAAGGAAUGGGCAACGGUAGGUCAGUAUGCCCCGAAUAUCCCGGGCUACACGCGAGCUACAAUGGUUGGUACAAUGGGUAUCUACCCCGAAAGGGGACGGGAAUCUCCUAAAACCAAUCUUAGUUCGGAUUGAGGGCUGCAACUCGCCCUCAUGAAGCUGGAAUCCGUAGUAAUCGCGUUUCAACAGAACGCGGUGAAUACGUCCCUGCUCCUU